AGUGAACGUUGGCGGCGUGGAUUAGGCAUGCGAGUCGAGCGAGAACCGUAGCAAUACGGGGACAGCGGCGAAAGGGACAGUAAUAUGUAGGUACCUACCCUCGGGUCCGGGAUAGCUGCGGGAAACUGCAGGUAAUACCGGAUGACAUCUCCGGAUCAAAGGUGUGAUUCCGCCCGGGGAGGGGCCUGCAUCCUAUUAGCUUGUUGGUGGGGUAACGGCCUACCAAGGCGACGAUGGGUAGCGGGGGUGAGAGCAUGACCCGCGUCAUUGGGGCUGAGACACUGCCCGGACACCUACGGGUGGCUGCAGUCGGGAAUCGUCGGCAAUGGGGGCAACCCUGACCGAGCGACGCGGCGUGCGGGAUGAAGGCCUUCGGGUUGUAAACCGCUGUCGUAGAGGAGGAAAUGCAGGGGGGUUCUCCCCUCUGUUUGACCUAUUCUAGGAGGAAGGACGGGCUAAGUUCGUGCCAGCAGCCGCGGUAA
rnacentral:rRNA from 1 species